GAUGAAGAACGCAGCGAAAUGCGAUAAGUAAUGUGAAUUGCAGAAUUCAGUGAAUCAUCGAGUCUUUGAACGCACAUUGCGCCCCCUGGUAUUCCGGGGGGCAUGCCUGUCCGAGCGUCAUUGCUGCCCUCAAGCACGGCUUGUGUGUUGGGCCUCCGUCCUCCUCCCGGGGGCCGGGCCCGAAAGGCAGCGGCGGCACCGCGUCCGGUCCUCGAGCGUAUGGGGCUUCGUCACCCGCUCUUGUAGGCCCGGCCGGCGCUUGCCGACACAUCAAUCUUUUUUCCAGGUUGACCUCGGAUCAGGUAGGGAUACCCGCUGAACUUAAGCAUAUCAAUAAGCGGAGGA
rnacentral:misc_RNA from 1 species